ACGGAAGGCAGCAGUGGGGAAUAUUGCACAAUGGGGGAAACCCUGAUGCAGCGACGCCGCGUGAGUGAAGAAGUUAUUCGUAAUGUAAAACUCUAUCAGCAGGGAAGAAAAUGACGGUACCUGACUAAGAAGCCCCGGCUAACUACGUGCCAGCAGCCGCGGUAAUACGUAGGGGGCAAGCGUUAUCCGGAUUUACUGGGUGUAAAGGGAGCGUAGACGGUCUGGCAAGUCUGAUGUGAAAGGCAGGGGCUCAACUCCUGGACUGCAUUGGAAACUGUCAGUCUUGAGUGUCGGAGAGGUAAGCGGAAUUCCUAGUGUAGCGGUGAAAUGCGUAGAUAUUAGGAGGAACACCAGUGGCGAAGGCGGCUUACUGGACGAUAACUGACGUUGAGGCUCGAAAGCGUGGGGAGCAAACAGGAUUAGAUACCCUGGUA
rnacentral:rRNA from 1 species